UACGAAGGGGGCUAGCGUUGCUCAGAAUCACUGGGCGUAAAGCGCACGUAGGCGGCUUUUUAAGUCAGGGGUGAAAUCCUGGAGCUCAACUCCAGAACUGCCUUUGAUACUGAGAAGCUUGAGUCCGGGAGAGGUGAGUGGAACUGCGAGUGUAGAGGUGAAAUUCGUAGAUAUUCGCAAGAACACCAGUGGCGAAGGCGGCUCACUGGCCCGGUACUGACGCUGAGGUGCGAAAGCGUGGGGAGCAAACAGG
rnacentral:rRNA from 1 species